rfam:Angiostrongylus cantonensis strain Taiwan genome assembly, scaffold: ACAC_scaffold0004368
GUGAUUGUUGUGUAAUGGUUAGCAUGGAUGCCUUCCAAGCAUUCGACUGGGGUUCGAUUCCGCUCAAACGCA